AAAAGAGGAGCAUGCACUUCUUACGAUUGACUCAAAUGAUAAUAAAAUAAAAGAAGGGAAGGAGAUUUUACGUUUCUCCUAGGUCUUCACUCAACUAAAUGCAUCUUUAACCAGAAUAGCUAGAUUCAUUAACUGAUCGGCGGUUGUGGCGUACAGAAUAUCCAGCAGUGGCUCUUUUUUUAAAACAGAUUCGACAAGAUGUGGAAUAUCAGAAUAAUACUACUUUCUGAGGUGCCAUGGUGGGUGUUGAUACACGGAUUGGAUGUCCGUGAAUCAUAUGGCUUCAUGUAUGGACUUGGACCUAUAAAGUGCCCAAAGUUACAGAUAAGAGAGACAUUUCACGUUUGUGCAUAACAA